UCCAGCCGUCUUACCUCACCUGUCCCCGUGUUUACCUGCCUCCCGCCCAUCGCCGCUUUCUCUUUCGCCUGAGCGCCUCGCUGAGACGGACGCAAUGAGACGGGUCCUCGCAGGAAGGGAGACGGAGGCAGGGCCGUGAAGGGAGCGCAGCUGUAAACAAGGUGAAAAAUAAUCAGGCGACGGUGGACCGCGGCUCUCUGAGGGCCCGCUGCAGACUAUAAAGACGUCGCAGAAGCAGGAAGCUCCUUGAGUCUGUGUGACAGCGAUGUGCCAGUGGCUCCAAACACCAUCUGUUACUUUGGCCAGCCACUUUCGAUUGCAUGGCGUGAUAGCAGAGAUCAAACACAUAGCCUCGCCGCAACAACACUUCCAGUGGAGAAAAUGGUCUUCUCCAGCCAACAGCUGGUUCAGUUCCUUCCUCCUCCGAACGUGAUGAAGAGGUUAAGACGUGGUCUGCCCCCCUGGUUUCACCGCAGAACGCCGCUGAGAUGAGAGAGACUCUGAGUUUAACUUGACACCUGCUCCCCCCUACAGCGUCAUCCGGUUGAUGGGUUCAGCUUCCGAGCCAUCAUCGCAAUCCGGCCUUUUCUUUCCGAUACGAGGUCCGAAAAUCUCCGGCAUCUCAGCCCUGGUCACUGUGCCCUGUUCACCGUUGACUCGCUUUUUAAAACCGAUGCUUAAAUGUCCCGUGAUAAAGUCUGUAGGAGUCUAAAUGAAUCAGUAGAUAAUGACUAACUGGCUCCUUGAAAUGAGAAGGAAAAAAAAUGACUAAUAUUUGGUUGUAGGCACUCAGGAAUCUGCAUAUUGACCCCUCUGUUGUGAACUGUCUGAGGAAUCUUGACUAAGAUGUGAAAAUAAACCGGAGCUAAUGAUUCUAACAUUU